rnacentral:rRNA from 1 species
GACGAACGCUGGCGGCGUGCCUAAUACAUGCAAGUCGAGCGCUUCUUUCCUCCCGAGUGCUUGCACUCAAUUGGAAAGAGGAGUGGCGGACGGGUGAGUAACACGUGGGUAACCUACCCAUCAGAGGGGGAUAACACUUGGAAACAGGUGCUAAUACCGCAUAACAGUUUAUGCCGCAUGGCAUAAGAGUGAAAGGCGCUUUCGGGUGUCGCUGAUGGAUGUUCCCGCGGUGCAUUAGCUAGUUGGUGAGGUAACGGCUCACCAAGGCCACGAUGCAUAGCCGACCUGAGAGGGUGAUCGGCCACACUGGGACUGAGACACGGCCCAGACUCCUACGGGAGGCAGCAGUAGGGAAUCUUCGGCAAUGGACGAAAGUCUGACCGAGCAACGCCGCGUGAGUGAAGAAGGUUUUCGGAUCGUAAAACUCUGUUGUUAGAGAAGAACAAGGACGUUAGUAACUGAACGUCCCCUGACGGUAUCUAAACAGAAAGCCACGGCUAACUACGUG